AUUUUAGUUUAUUGAUACAAAUUUAAAGUUAAUUUUGUUAUACUAAAUGUAUAUUUCUACUCUUGUUUAAGGUAUUAUGUUUGUACAGCUCAUUUAAAAUUGUAAUGGAUAAUUAAGAAAUAGAUCAAUAAUUAGUCAUCUAAGAUAAUCAUACUUAUAGCCAUGUUAGUCAAGUUUUCUAGGUAUAAAUAGAUAUAUUUCAGAUAGAUAGGUAAUCUUCAAACACUUCAAAGACCUACGGAAUAUGACAUUUAAAAUACUUUGAAUUA